rnacentral:rRNA from 1 species
AUGGAUUUAAUCCCGAGUUUCACUUUAGCCAAAGGCUCUAAGUGCCAUGCGUGUGUGCAAGCUAAGCAACCUCGUAAGCCUCACAAGCCUGCGAAGGAGAGACACCUGGCACCUCUAGAGCUCAUACAUUUAGAUCUCUGUGAGAUGAAUGGUGUGUUGACUAAAGGUGGAAAGAAAUACUUCAUGACUCUGAUUGAUGAUUCCACUAGAUUCUGCUAUGUGUAUUUGUUAAAUACUAAGGAUGAGGCUCUACACUACUUUAAAGUCUAUAAGGCUAAAGUUGAGAACCAACUUGAGAAGAAAAUAAAACGAGUCCGGUCUGAUCAUGGUGGAGAGUACUUUUCUAAUGAGUUCGAUUUAUUAUGUGCGGAACAUGGUAUUAUUCAUGAGAGGACGCCUCCCUACUCACCCCAGUCAAACGGGGUUGCCAAACGGAAAAAACGUACUCUAACUGAUUUGGUUAACGCCAUGUUAGAUACAUCGGGUUUAUCCAAGGCAUGGUGGGGGGAGGCUGUAUUGACAUCUUGUCAUGUCCUGAAUAAAGUUCCCACAAAGGAUAAUGAGACUACUCCCUAUGAGCAAUGGGAAAAGCAAAGAACUACACUCUCUUGCGCACUUGGGGCUGUUUGGCGAAAGUUAAUGUGCCGAUAA